rnacentral:rRNA from 1 species
AGAGUUUGAUCCUGGCUCAGAAUGAACGUUGGCGGCGUGGAUUAGGCAUGCAAGUCGAGCGAGAACCCGCAAGGGGGACAGCGGCAAACGGGGUAGUAACGGGUAGGUGACGUACCCUCGGGUCGGGGAUAGCCACGGGAAACUGUGGGUAAUACCCGAUAAUCUCUGGAAGCGUGAUGUUUCUGGAGCAAAGGUGAGAUUCCACCUGGGGAGCGGCCUGCUUCGUAUUAGCUAGUUGGUGAGGUAACGGCUCACCAAGGCGACGAUGCGUAGGGGGUGUGAGAGCAUGACCCCCACCACUGGGACUGAGAUACUGCCCAGACACCUACGGGUGGCUGCAGUCGAGAAUCUUCGGCAAUGGGCGCAAGCCUGACCGAGCGACGCCGCGUGUGGGAUGAAGGCCCUUGGGUUGUAAACCACUGUCAGAGGGGAUGAAA